GCGUUAAAUGAUAAAUUUAUUGCAUUCAUCAUAAACCCGUUAAUAUAAAUCUUGACCCACACAUCUUUCUCGCUCACUCUCUCUUAUGAACAAAUAAAAGCUCCCCAUAGAAGCAUUAGAAAUCGGCAAUUUGGGAGCCAGAAGAUCGCCAAAGCGUGAAUUUGCCAAUUUUCUACGAUUCCUCUCUUUGAUGGUGAAGCCGUUCCUCGGCUUCUGAACCAUUCUUGAGAUAUGGGAAUGGGAUUUUGAGCCUCCUCUCUCUUUGCAACCCUUUGGUCCUCCAGAAUUUUUCAACGAUCUGAUGUCUCUUUUCCUCUCUCUAAAACCGAGUCUUCCUCUCUCCAAAAAAAACCUCUAAUUUUUGUGCGAAUGGUUUGGUUUAAUUUAUUUCACCAAGUUUUGCGUCUUUAUCAAGGAGCCUAACUUGUUCAUGAAAGGCUGGCCCUUUU
rnacentral:lncRNA from 1 species